GCGGGCGUGGCGGAACUGGUAGACGCGCCGGAUUUAGGUUCCGGUGGCAGAGAUGUCGUGGGGGUUCGAGCCCCUCCGCCCGCACCA
rnacentral:tRNA from 1 species